CAAAGCAAAAACCAAGUUUGUUUCUUCCACUUUAUCCUUUACAAAUUCAACAAUUUCAGAAAACAAUUUCAACACAAGAGACCAAUAUCACUUCCCUUUUCUCUCUUCUCUGAUUCAAGCAAUCAGCCACCAACAUCUUAUUCACCAUUGAAUUUCAAGAUCAAAACAAUAGAGUUUAUUACCAUUUUAUUUUCUCUUUGAAUAAACUGCAAAUCUCAGCCAUGGAGCCACCCUCUUCGCCCCUUUUUCCGGCAUAAUGCCGCCUGCAAACCACCCCUUUUGUCGCCUGUAACCACCGCACCACCACCUCCUUAUUUCCCGACCGUCGCAAACAACCCACCACCACCACGCACCUCCCCUGUCUCCCUCGCCCUUGCGCCCAACUCCCUGCCUCCCUCCUCACUCGACCCCCUGCCUUCGCGCCCAGCCAGCACGGUGGUGCUGCUGCGCUGGCGACGCUCCACCCCUUUCCUCCUCCCUGGUGCAGCGCCACCCAGACACGCCUCCCCUAAACCCACCGGAAAACCGUUGCAGUCUCCUCCCAUAACCACCCACGCCAUCGCACAGUCCCUCCCUCUUUGCGCAAACCACCGUCGCACAACCACGACCAUUACCGUCGCUUUAUUGCGCCACCGUGCCUCCCAGGCGUCAGCCUCCACCUCCGUUCCCCUCCCCCUCUUUCUCUUCGUCCGUUUCCCUCCUCCCUCGUGCCCUGCCCUCCUCUGUUCUUGCUCGAGUUUCCCAGGAAACAAGUUCCAGAUUGGAACUGUUUUCUUAUUCCCCAUACCAAGCCCAAAAUUGUUGGCCCAAAUAGCUCAAAAGUCGAACUCGGAGCUCAGGACGAACGAACCAAGGAAAAAGGCUUAGCAAAUCGUGGAAUUGAGGUACUGCUGGGGACCACAGAAACGAGUAGUGGCGAGGAUUUCACUAUUACCAAAGCUCACCUAAGUUAAUGUUAAGUUAUAACAAGUUUAAGUAAAGAUUCUUGAUUAAGUUACGUACUUUUUUUAAGGAAUUAAUAAGAAUUAUUAUGUUAAUUUUGGAAUUUAAUAGCUUAAUAUUGAUGGUUGCCUUGUAAUUCCCAAGAGGGAGUUACGGCAGUAAUGUCCCGACCAAAUUAGGUUAAUUCCGCUGCUAAUUAUGCUUUAAUAAGUGAUUUAGAGGUCGGGGCGUUACAGAAACAGAAAUUUAGGUAUGCUGAUUAUGGAACAAAAUAGCCAUUAAGUUCCAGCCUUGAAGGACUUAAAACAAACUAGAUGACCCUACAACUAAUGUAGCAUUGCCAUGCUUCAUUUUUCACUUGUAGGCCAUUAGUGUAGCCUAGCUUCCAUUAUUUGAGUUAUUACCGAAGUAAGAACCUCAAGCGGUAUAUGAUACCAAGGAAGUUAGAUUGCUAGGUCACUUCUCUUUAAACAUAAACUUAUAGGUAGAACCGGAAUCGUAAAUUCCUUUCAUUUGUUCCUUUGUUUUCCUAUUUCUUGUACCUUUCUUAUAGUCUUAAGAAUUGAAUUCUAUAGUGUUGACUUUUAUA